rnacentral:lncRNA from 1 species
CUAGAAGACUUUUCUGAUUCCUCCAGUCUUGAGUACAUUCAUAGCAUCCCAGGGAGGCCUUCCUGUUGCUUCUGGCAGACUAUUACAGAAGAUUCAGAUAAUCUUAAUUCAGUUGUAAAGACAUGACUACAUGUGAUUAGCUCUUCUUUCUGCAAUAUAGUAAUUUACAAAUCCCAACAGGAAGCUUGUCAUGUUUAUCAAGUGAUCCUCUUUGGUAGUUCCUGAGCUUCAAUGUUAUGCACUCUCCCAUAAGAUUACUCCAAGUCUGCUGGCCUUCUCAGACACUGCUUUCUGCAUCUCUGUGCUUGGAUCUAGACCACAAUUUCUUAUAAACGAGAAAAUGCUAUAGCUAAAAUGGGCCAAUGUACACCUCAGGCUGUUGCUUCAGAGGCUGCAAGCCCCAAACAUUGGCAGCUUCCACAUGUGUUUGACUUAUGGGUACACAGAAGUCAAGAAUUGAGGUUUGGGGACCUCCACCUAGAUUUCAGAGGGUGUAUGGAAUGGCUGGAUGUCCAGGCAGAAGUCUGCUGCAGGGGCAGAGCCCUCAUGGAGAACCUCUAGUUUAGUACAGGGGAGAAAUGUGGGGUUGGAGACCCCACACAGAAUCCCACUGGGGCACUGCCUAGUGGAGCUGUGAGAAGAAGGUCACUGUCCUCCAGAUGCCAGAAUGGUAGACACACUGACAGAUUGCACUGUGCACCUGGAAAAGCCACAGACACUCAACACUGGCCAGUGAAGGCAGCCAGGAGGGGAGCUGUACCUUACAAAGCCACAGGAGUGGAGCUGCCCAAGGCUGUGGGAGCCCAUCUCUUGUGUCAGUAUGCCCUGGAUGUGAGACAUGAAGUCAAAGGAGAUCAUUUUGGAACUUUAAGGUUUGACUGUCCUAUUGGAUUUUGGACUUGCACGGAGCCUGUAGCCCCUUUGCUUUGGCCUCCCAUUUGAAACUGGUAUAUUCACCCAAUGCCUGUACUCCCAUUGUAUCUAAGAAGUAAGUAUCUUGCUUUUGAUUUUACAGGCUCAUAGGUGGAAGGGACUUGUCUUAUCUCAGAUGAGACUUUGGACUUGGACUUUUGAGUUAAUUCUGGGAUGAGUUAAGACUUUGGGGGACUGUUGGAAGGGCAUGAUUGUGUUUUAAUAUGUGAGGACAUGAGAUUUGGGAGGGGCCAGGGGAAGAAUAAUAUGGUUUGGCCAUGUCCCUACCCAAAUCUCAUCUUGGAUUCUAGCUCCCAUAAUCCCCAUGUGCGGUGGAAAGGACCCAGUGGGAGGUAACAGAAUCAUGGGGGUGGGUUUUUCCCAUGUUAUUCUCAUGAGAGUCAAUAAGUCUCAUGAUAUCUGAUGGUUUUAUAUAGGGCGGUUCCCCUGCACACAUGCUCUUGCCUGCCACCCAGUAAGAUGUGGUUUUGUUCCUCCUUCGCCUUCCGCCAUGAUUGUGAGGCCUCCCUAGCCAUAUGGAACUGUGAG